UGUGAAUUAAUUAUAAAGUCUGGCCUGCCCACUGAUUAAUUUAAAGGGCCGCGGUAAUUUGACCGUGCGAAGGUAGCAUAGUCAGUAGUCUUUUAAUUGAAGGCUUGAAUGAAAGGUUGGACGAGGGAUGAGCUGUCUCUUUUGCGUGGUUUGAAUUUAACUUUUGAGUGAAAAGGCUCAAAUUGCUUAGUGGGACGAUAAGACCCUAUAAAACUUAAUAUAAAUUUAUUUAAUUUAUGAUUUAAGUGAAAAGUAAUUUAAGUGGGUUUAUAUUUUGUUGGGGAGAUGUAGAUAUAAUAUGUAACUGUUUAUUAAAUUUAAUAAUUAUAAUUAGUGUGUGAUCCUUCUUUGUGGAUUAAAAGUAUAAGUUACUUUAGGGAUAACAGCGUGAUUUUCUUUGAGAGUUCUUAUCGACAAGAGUAGUUGCGACCUCGAUGUUGAAUUAAAAUUUCAGCUAGGUGUAGCCGUUUAGCUGGUAGGUCUGUUCGACCUUUAAAAUUUUACAUGAUUUGAGUUCAAACCGGA
rnacentral:rRNA from 1 species